AGGAGGAAAAGAAAAAAAAAAGAGAGAGAAAAAAAAAGAAAUGGAGAAAAAAAAAAAAAAAAGAAGAGAAAGGAAAUGAGAGGCGGAAAAAAAAAACUGGGGAAAAAAGACAACUUUUUGAGACUGGAAUUAAAACCCGAGCCCGAAGCCCCGUCGACUGCAGCUCCGGGGGAUGCCUUGGCCACCAGAAAAAUUCAACAGCAUUCAGCUGUUGUUGAGACCAUUUUACAGCUGUUUACCAGGAGGAAAAAAAAGAAAUCGAUGUGAAACACAAGCAAAUUCGUCCCCUUCUUGUUUGAGAUGAGCAGAAGCUUCGCCUGGUCCAGCCGAUUUUUUUGGGGAGGAGCCGGGGGUUGACCCUACGUGAUGCUCUGCACAUUUUCUGGUGGGUCUCUGGCCCCGGUGGAAGCUCACAGAGAAUUUCCCACUCAGAUGGGCUCGCUCUAACACGAACCCAGGAGUGGGGGCUGCAUGGAAAAAUCCCCAGAGCCACGAGACCCCAACCGUGUGGGAGCUGCCAGCAGGACCUGUCUUGAAGGACCCUCACCAUGGCUGAUCCCACUUGCACCCUCCUCCUCCUCCUGCCAGCAGACCCUGGCCCAGGGCACGGCGUAGACCCCGAUUUCCACCACCAUCCAUCCAGGCUGCUCGAGGCCAGCACUGGGCAUCUCUGGGGGGACACCAGCACCGGUUUGGGGACGGAUGGGAUGGAGAAGACACCAGAACAUCCCCAUUUCACUGCCACGCAUCACCCCAUGGGCAGCACCGGCUCAUGCGAGGGCUGUUAAGGGCUUCAUUUGAAUAAAUAAGUGCGGAGGUGCAGGAGGAACAUCACCAUAACCCCCUGGAAACCCCAGCGCCGGCGACGGCAUCAGAGGACCGGCGAGCGGGAGAAGGGGCCUCGGCGUUAUAUAUUCCAUAAAGUAGAGUAAUUAAGUAUUACUAGUUUUGAUGACUUCAAACGGAGUGACUCCAGGAAAUAAGCCCCUUCUUUAUAAUUAGUGGGAUUUCCUCUGCAUCAAACGGAGAGAUUGAUUCUUUAAUCUGCUCACAUGCUUUUGAUUUGGUCUUUCAGCUGCUUGUACCAACUGCUUCCACUCCCUGCUCUUGCCGAUAAAACCUCGCAAAGGAGAUUUUAGGAAGGCAUGACCUGAGUCGAGGUCCAGGAUUUUCUUUGUGUGUGGCUGUUUUGUGUACUCUUAAUUUGCCCGAGAUGAUGAUCGUGAUGAUAGCAAUAAUAAAAAAUAGACAGAGACACCCAUUUUUAACAUCCACGUAUGUUUAGGGCAAAUAAUUGCGAUUUGGGGGUGGGUUUUUGUUACUUUUUCUCUUCCCAGCACCAUUAUUAGCUCUUCAAGACCUACACAGGUCAUUUUGGUGACCUGUCCACUGUCCCAAGUAGGUCUUACUGCAAAAUCUUGCUCUUGGUAGAGAGCCCAGACCUAGCGCCAGGGUCUGGCUGGGCUUUCAGCAUUUUGAGGGCUCUGUUAAAAUAAAGACUCAAUUUCUUAAGGACUUGGGACAUGCAGGGGGAAGAAGCCCCUUUUCUAGACCAUAUAAAUUGUUUUGUCCUGAUUUAGGGCUAAUCCCAGGAAUUUUUGGAAACUCUGCCAGAAAUCAAAUCCCCCCAAAUGUUGCUGCUUAGUUCAGGGGGGAUCAGGAACUUGUUCCCCUGCGUGUGCAAGAAGCCAAUGGUGAGCAACCAGCUCCAUCCUGGGCAUCUCCAUGGGUUUGGUGGCCCCAUACCAGUCAUCUGGGAAAUCCAGUCUGGGUGAUGUGCUGGUUCCAGGCAUGGACUGGACCUACCCGGUGGUAACCCACCUCCAAGAUAGCUCAGAUUUUCACCCAUAGAAUCAUAGAUUCUCUUAGGAUGGAAAAGAUCUUUAAGAUCAUCAGGUCCAACCAUCAACCCAGGUACUGCCAAGUCCACCACUAACUUUCUUUCUGGCAUGAGGUUCUCCUGGGACUGCCAAGGAGGGAAAAAAAAAAAAGGGGAAAAUUUGGGAUCAUGUUGUCUUCCAUACUUCUUUGGUCCUGUUGGAAAUGUGCAGCGCGGGCAAGGCAGAGGCUCAUGGUGCUGCACCUCGAGUGUGCCCUUUGGGUGACAAUUGGAGGAUGAUGGCUCUACAGGGGGUUAUUUUGGUGGUGGUAGAGCAGGAACUGACAUCCCACCCACAACCCUUCCUUUUUGGUGGGGCUGCCAUUGCUCUGGGUGUGUGUCUUGCACAAAUAUAGGGUGGGGAGGGCAAGCAUGGGGCUGUCCCCACCACACUUUGGUGGCCAAGCAUGGGAUUGCCCCUGCUGCGGUUUGGUGGUCAAGCAUGGGGUUGUUCCCAUUGUGGUUUGGUGGCCAAGCAUGGGGUUAUCUCCAUCUUGGCCUGGUGGCCAAGCAUGGGGUUGUCUCCACCGUGGUGUGGUGGCCAAGCAUGGGGUUGUCCCCACCACGGUUUGGUGGCCACGCAUGAGACUGUCCCCACAAUGGUCUGAUGGUCACCAGCCCCACAAGGAGAAGCAAUGGGAAGGGGGACAGUCAUACUGGAGCCCACCUGGAGCCAGGAGAAGGCUGGGGAGCACAGGGGGAGAGCUGGGGAGCAGUUUAAUAUGCCCCUCGCAAAGCCUCCCCUCAUCUGGAGCGGUGUCGAACACAGAUCGUAUAAUUAGGGACCCGGUGAAUACGUAACUGUACAAUUAUGCAAAUAGUGAUCAAAAUCACUGUUUUCAGCAGAAAUGCCUGAAGAUCAAGACGGAAGCUUCAUGCAACCUUAAUUUAAUCUGGUCCUGCAGGAGCGGGGAAGGUCUGAUGGAUGACCCAACCCCGUGUUCAGCGCGGCCGGGGUGGGAGGCGGGGGAGAGGAGGGAAAACGGCGCCAGGAUCAUCGCAUCGUGUUGGCAAAGCAGGGAGAAAAAUAGCAGAAAAGGAAGUGCUGGUGUUUACAAUG